CCUGUCAUAGCUCAAUAGCAGAGCAUCAGCUUUGCAUGCAGAGGGUCCUAGGUUCAAUCCCUGGCAUCUCUAGGUAGGA